AUUGAACGCUUUCUUCCUUCCUAACACAUGCAAGUCGAACGGUAACAGGAAGCAGCUUGCUGCUUCGCUGACGAGUGGCGGACGGGUGAGUAAUGUCUGGGAAACUGCCUGAUGGAGGGGGAUAACUACUGGAAACGGUAGCUAAUACCGCAUAACGUCGCAAGACCAAAGAGGGGGACCUUAGGGCCUCUUGCCAUCGGAUGUGCCCAGAUGGGAUUAGCUAGUAGGUGGGGUAACGGCUCACCUAGGCGACGAUCCCUAGCUGGUCUGAGAGGAUGACAAGCCACACUGGAACUGAGACACGGUCCAGACUCCUACGGGAGGCAGCAGUGGGGAAUAUUGCACAAUGGGCGCAAGCCUGAUGCAGCCAUGCCGCGUGUAUGAAGAAGGCCUUCGGGUUGUAAAGUACUUUCAGCGGGGAGGAAGGGAGUAAGGUUAAUACCUUUGCUCAUUGACGUUACCCGCAGAAGAAGCACCGGCUAACUCCGUG
rnacentral:rRNA from 1 species